GUAGUCAUAUGCUUGUCUCAAAGAUUAAGCCAUGCAUGUCUAAGUAUAAGCAAUCUAUACAGUGAAACUGCGAAUGGCUCAUUAAAUCAGUUAUCGUUUAUUUGAUAGUACCUUACUACUUGGAUAACCGUGGUAAUUCUAGAGCUAAUACAUGCUAAAAACCCCGACUUCGGAAGGGGUGUAUUUAUUAGAUAAAAAACCAAUGCUCUUCGGGGCUCCUUGGUGAUUCAUAAUAACUUAACGAAUCGCAUGGCCUUGUGCCGGCGAUGGUUCAUUCAAAUUUCUGCCCUAUCAACUUUCGAUGGUAGGAUAGUGGCCUGCCAUGGUUUCAACGGGUAACGGGGAAU
rnacentral:rRNA from 1 species